CAAUAGGUCCUUUUCAGGACCACGAAUAUAAUAAAAAGGAGAUAU
rfam:Glossina morsitans morsitans, isolate Yale, WGS project CCAG01000000 data, contig: ctg10017880